AAGAGCCUAGUAAACAUUAUUACAUGACUUUGUCAUAGUCAAAUCACAACAUUUGUGGCUCUUA
rnacentral:tRNA from 1 species